AUUGAACGCUGGCGGCAGGCCUAACACAUGCAAGUCGAGCGGAUGAAGGGAGCUUGCUCCUGGAUUCAGCGGCGGACGGGUGAGUAAUGCCUAGGAAUCUGCCUGGUAGUGGGGGAUAACGUCCGGAAACGGGCGCUAAUACCGCAUACGUCCUGAGGGAGAAAGUGGGGGAUCUUCGGACCUCACGCUAUCAGAUGAGCCUAGGUCGGAUUAGCUAGUUGGUGGGGUAAAGGCCUACCAAGGCGACGAUCCGUAACUGGUCUGAGAGGAUGAUCAGUUACACUGGAACUGAGACACGGUCCAGACUCCUACGGGAGGCAGCAGUGGGGAAUAUUGGACAAUGGGCGAAAGCCUGAUCCAGCCAUGCCGCGUGUGUGAAGAAGGUCUUCGGACUGUAAAGCACUUUAAGUUGGGAGGAAGGGCAGUAAGUUAAUACCUUGCUGUUUUGACGUUACCAACAGAAUAAGCACCGGCUAACUUCGUG
rnacentral:rRNA from 1 species